GAUGAACGCUGGCGGCGUGCCUAAUACAUGCAAGUCGAGCGAACAGACGAGGAGCUUGCUCCUCUGACGUUAGCGGCGGACGGGUGAGUAACACGUGGAUAACCUACCUAUAAGACUGGGAUAACUUCGGGAAACCGGAGCUAAUACCGGAUAAUAUAUUGAACCGCAUGGUUCAAUAGUGAAAGACGGUUUUGCUGUCACUUAUAGAUGGAUCCGCGCCGCAUUAGCUAGUUGGUAAGGUAACGGCCUACCAAGGCAACGAUGCGUAGCCGACCUGAGAGGGUGAUCGGCCACACUGGAACUGAGACACGGUCCAGACUCCUACGGGAGGCAGCAGUAGGGAAUCUUCCGCAAUGGGCGAAAGCCUGACGGAGCAACGCCGCGUGAGUGAUGAAGGUCUUCGGAUCGUAAAACUCUGUUAUUAGGGAAGAACAAAUGUGUAAGUAACUAUGCACGUCUUGACGGUACCUAAUCAGAAAGCCCCGGCUAACUACGUG
rnacentral:rRNA from 1 species